GAGACAAAAUCUAACUGUAUAAGGAAUAUCAUUUUCACAAUUUCAGCUGUCCCUCCCACCAGACGGCAGGCGACUGUGCUUUUGAUCUUUUUUAUUGCCAAUGCCUGGCAACAUGCCCGACUUGCAGUCGACUUGAGUGUUGGUUUACUAAAUCCAUUAAUAGGUGUUCAAAAACAGCAUGAAGAGCUAAAUGAUGAGGCCCUCUGUGGAGCAGCUUGCUCCGGUGAGCGUGCAUUCAGCUAUCAAAUCCCAGGAGGCCCAUUAGACCUCAACCAAAUGACAGCCCGUAAAGUUCCUUGGAGUGAAGAAUUAGGUUGAGCUGUUAACCUUCCCCAUGCAAAGGACAACAAAGAAAUUCUAGUAAGAGGUAAAAGGACAGAAACUCAAUUUACUGUUUUACUAUUAAAUUCUCAUCCCUCGCUCACAGAAAAAAAAUGUGUUCGCUUUCACAGCCAUUUUCCUUUGGCGCUUGGCAUAGGAGUCUACCUGCAGCAGCCUCUGCUUCUCCACCAUUUAUUAUCCCAUUCCCGCGUGCUGCCUACUCCACUCAAGCACCUUCUAUAAAGUGAUACUGCCUAAGCUGAAGUGCUAAAAUCUGCCUGCCCUAAAUGGGAUAUGAAAAUGUGGGAAUAUUAGCCCUUAAACAGUAGGCUAGAAUUUCUUUCAUCCAUCUAUCCCUAAGGCAAACUGGGUUUUAAAGCCAAAAUCACAGGUUGCCUUUUGCUUUGUAAAUCAGCAGUUGGAUGUGUAAUUGGGGUUUUUUUUUUAAAUGUCAAAAUGACUCUUGGGUGUUGAUUUGGCAAGUGGAAAUAACAUAGAAAGGCUGUAUAAGUAGUUUUAGAAUGGCAGUUAAAAUCUCAUAAUCUGACUUUAACAAUUGAUUUUGCUCCAAAUUUCCAUAUUGGUAUUAUUCAGCUUUUGGCUGAGGAUCUGGAAAUGGAACUUUUCCCAGUGAAACUUGGACUAAACCUAAUAUUGAACUUAUCGUGUUCAUAGUUUGGGUAGGUAAAUUUUAUACAUCUAAUUUGCAGACCAGCUUAUAGAAACAGGAGAUGAAAAGCCCAUUUCAUUUAUUCCCCUGGUGGGGUGGAACAUUUUCUUCCAAUAUGUUUUCCAAUUUACUUUUGAAAUUUAUGGAGCUUAAGAAAAGUACCAUUCCAUUAUCUAAUAGUUCUUGCUAAUAGGCAGUUUCCUUAAAUACCCAGCCUAAAUUUUCCAUUGCUCAUCUGACUUCAAAUCUUCACCAUUUUCCAAUCUUAUGGAUUUUAUAAUUUAAUGUUUGCUAAAUCCUUAGUUAAUAGCCAUUCUCAAGAUUGUGAUUUAAAAAAUGUAUAUUAAGUGAUUUUGCUCCCUUAAAAAUUCUAUAAACUACUGAUUGAAUGUGCAAAACAUUUAUGCCCUAUUUCUAAAAGAGUAAAACGAUCACUCUGGAUAGUGAGAGAUGAACCUAUUUCUUCUGCCUUGCUAAGAGAAUUGUUUUGCUUGGUUUGAUGCUACCAAAGUAUAUUUAAGAAAGAAUAAAACGUGAAUUGAUCGUGUUUGUGGUUAUUUU
rnacentral:lncRNA from 1 species